rnacentral:rRNA from 1 species
GACGAACGCUGGCGGCGUGCUUAACACAUGCAAGUCGAACGGAAAGGCCCUGCUUUUGUGGGGUGCUCGAGUGGCGAACGGGUGAGUAACACGUGAGUAACCUGCCCUUGACUUUGGGAUAACUUCAGGAAACUGGGGCUAAUACCGGAUAGGAGCUCCUGCUGCAUGGUGGGGGUUGGAAAGUUUCGGCGGUUGGGGAUGGACUCGCGGCUUAUCAGCUUGUUGGUGGGGUAGUGGCUUACCAAGGCUUUGACGGGUAGCCGGCCUGAGAGGGUGACCGGACAAAUUGGGACUGAGAUACGGCCCAGACUCCUACGGGAGGCAGCAGUGGGGAAGAUUGCACAAGGGGCGGAAGCCUGAUGCAGCAACGCCGCGUGCGGGAUGACGGCCUUCGGGUUGUAAACCGCUUUCGCCUGUGACGAAGCGUGAGUGACGGUAAUGGGUAAAGAAGCACCGGCUAACUACGUG